rnacentral:rRNA from 1 species
UACAGAGGUCUCAAGCGUUGUUCGGAUUCAUUGGGCGUAAAGGGUGCGUAGGCGGCGCGGUAAGUCGGGUGUGAAAUUUCGGAGCUUAACUCCGAAACUGCAUUCGAUACUGCCGUGCUUGAGGACUGGAGAGGAGACUGGAAUUUACGGUGUAGCAGUGAAAUGCGUAGAGAUCGUAAGGAAGACCAGUGGCGAAGGCGGGGUCUCUGGACAGUUCCUGACCGCUGAGGCACGAAGGCCAGGGGAGCAAACGGG